UGCCUACGGGGGGCUGCAGUGAGGAAUAUUGGUCAAUGGGCGAGAGCCUGAACCAGCCAAGUCGCGUGAAGGAAGAAGGUCUUAUGGAUUGUAAACUUCUUUUACAGGGGAAUAAAGAUGAGUACGCGUACUCAGUUGUAGGUACCCUGAGAAUAAGGAUCGGCUAACUCCGUGCCAGCAGCCGCGGUAAUACGGAGGAUUCGAGCGUUAUCCGGAUUUAUUGGGUUUAAAGGGUGCGCAGGCGGGUUGAUAAGUCAGUGGUGAAAGGUUUACGCUUAACGUAGACAUUGCCAUUGAAACUGUCGAUCUUGAGUACAAAUGAGGUAGGCGGAAUGUGUUGUGUAGCGGUGAAAUGCAUAGAUAUGACACAGAACACCGAUUGCGAAGGCAGCUUACUGGGAUGUAACUGACGCUCAGGCACGAAAGCGUGGGGAUCAAACAGGAUUAGAUACCCGUGUAGUC
rnacentral:rRNA from 1 species